GACGAACGCUGGCGGCGUGCCUAAUACAUGCAAGUCGAACGCAGUGGGGACGGGUGAGUAACACGUGGGUAACCUCCCAUCAGAGGGGAUAACACUUGGAAACAGGUGCUAAACCGAUACUGAUGGAUGGACCCUGGGUGCAUUAGCUAGUUGGUGAGGUAACGGCUCACCAAUGCCACGAUGCAUAGCCGAACUGAGAGGAGGAUGGGCCACACUGGAACUGAGACACGGCCAAGAGUUCAACGGCAGGCAGAAGAAGGGAAUCGGCGGCAAUGGACGAAAGUCUGACCGAGCAACGCAGCGUGAGUGAAGAAGGUUUUGGGAGCGUAAAACUCUGUUGUUAGAGAAGCGGUAUCUAACCAGAAAGCCACGGCUAACUACGUGCCAGCAGGCGCGGUAAUAC
rnacentral:rRNA from 1 species